rnacentral:rRNA from 1 species
UGGGGAAUAUUGGGCAAUGGGCGCAAGCCUGACCCAGCAACGCCGCGUGAAGGAAGAAGGCUUUCGGGUUGUAAACUUCUUUUAUCAGGGACGAAGCAAGUGACGGUACCUGAUGAAUAAGCCACGGCUAACUACGUGCCAGCAGCCGCGGUAAUACGUAGGUGGCGAGCGUUAUCCGGAUUUACUGGGUGUAAAGGGCGUGUAGGCGGGCUUGCAAGUCAGAUGUGAAAACCAUGGGCUCAACCCAUGGCCUGCAUUUGAAACUGUAGUUCUUGAGUGCUGGAGAGGCAAUCGGAAUUCCGUGUGUAGCGGUGAAAUGCGUAGAUAUACGGAGGAACACCAGUGGCGAAGGCGGAUUGCUGGACAGCAACUGACGCUGAGGCGCGAAAGCGUGGGGAGCAAACAGGAUUAGAUACCC